UCGGGUAUGGUGUAACGGUAACAUUUCUGACUCUCAAAAUCCCAAGACCUUCCAAGAUCCAAAGAUUGAGCACUCAGGGGCCCGGGGUUCGAUUCCCCGUAUCCGAG